UACAGGGGGCUCGAGCGUUAAUCGGAAUCACUGGGCUUAAAGGGUGCGCAGGCGGACCUUCAAGCGUUCUGUGAAAUCCCCCGGCUCAACCGGGGAACAGCAGAGCGAACUGAAGGUCUUGAGGCAAGUAGGGGUGGACAGAACUGUAGGUGGAGCGGUGAAAUGCGUAGAUAUCUACAGGAAUGCCGAUGGUGAAGACGGUCCACUGGGCUUGUCCUGACGCUCAGGCACGAAAGCGUGGGGAUCAAACAGG
rnacentral:rRNA from 1 species